GUCUUCCGUCCUCCGACUCUUCAUCACCUUUUAGUUGUCAGCUGCUGUCCGCUGUCUCUGUUGACUAUAUCCUUCAGUAUCUGUCAAUGUUCACUCUGCUACAUCACAAAAGCUCUCUCUCAGGUAGUCACGGCGUAUCGAAUUUAUACUGAUGGAUAAGCUCAGAAAGAAUCCCACCAAAAUAUAAGAUAGUCGCUGGAGCCUAUUCCACGCGAUGUCGUGAUUAGUUAGGUUUUGUUGAUCACGUGGGUAGUACUCUAGCGAAUCGCGACAUCGGGUGAUUGCUGAAUAUUCCCGCUAAAGACCCAUUGUGUGCGCGCACGCGCGUAUGUGUUGGUCUACUUGUUUUCAAAGAAACGCGAGAUAGAUUCUUUAAGCCAUGUCAACCUAGCGGGUAGACUAAGAAUGAAAUGGUUAGAUAAAAUACAUAAUCUCAGUUGGUUACGCUUAGGAGUCAAGCUGCAAAGUCUUAUGAUGGUUCCUUCUGAUAGGACCUUAUGGAGGAGAUGCCUGAGGAUGCGACCCCUACAGUCCGACCACAGGAAUGGUGAGCAGAGAAGAUGGAUGGCUACAUACAUACAUACAUACAUACAUACAAUGUUAUCCUCAAGAAAGAUUUUCCUGACAUCAUAUACAUCAAAGGCAUAUCAGAAGCAGUAAGUAUUCACACCUUUAAAAAUAAGGAAUACUGAUGGCACACUCUAAUAAAAACAGCUGUUCGUGGGAAACAUAACAGACCUGAUAUUGUUCUGUAGGACAGGGAACAAAAGUUAGGAACUGUUGAAGAGGUUAGCUGCCCAGCGCAUGUGAAUGUACAGUUCAAAUUUCAAGGAAAAGAAAAUAUUUAUGGUGAAUUAAUGCAAAACUUGCAGCUCUUGUGCCCUGACUAUGAAUUCUCAUUUGUUCCUGCCAUCAUAGGUGCAUUUGGUUGUGUACCAAUAAAUUGGCACAAAAUCCUAGAAAUACUCGGUUUCAAGAGCAAAAGAAACUGACGCGGAUUCACGAGAUCCAAUAUAUUAGUGGCACAGUGAAGAUUUGUAAGACAUUCCAAAGAUUCUCCAUCUGAGGUUCUUUAUGUGAAUAGAUGCAUAAACUUGGGUGUGUGGAUCGAUAGAUCAACCAACGCAAAAACUCAGCCACAUAUUUAGAAUCGCCGGUAACGUUUUUAACUCAAAGAGUCUUGCCACAUUGCUACCGACCGACACACAAAUACAUACAUACAUGCAUACACACACAGGUGACAAAAAUACAUACUUACACACAUACACUCAAAUACGUACAUACACAUACACACAAAUACAUACAUACAUACAUACAUACAUACAUGCAUACAUACAUACAUAAUACAUACCUACAUGCAUACAUACAUACAUACAUGCAUACAUACAUACAUAAUACAUACCUACAUGCAUACACGUAUACAUACAUACAUACGUACAUACAUACAUACAUACAUACAUACAUACAUACAUACAUACAUACAUACAUACAGUGAACUCUGCUCUGUUUCGUUGAUCUCUCUUCGGUUAUCUAUUUGACCCUUUCUCAUGAAAACAUCGGAAACAGACGAUGAAAAUUAAACUAGACAGCACAACAGGUAAAGCUCUGAGCUUUGUCGUGUGAACUGGGCCACACUAACUCACUCACCUGAAUGAACAUACAGAGGAAUUAUAUAAUGUUAAUCCAGCACAACUAAGUUUAAAACUAGCCAAGGCAACUGAAAUGCAAGCGCGAUCAAUGGAUGUAGCAGAAUAUUUUUAUAUUUAUUUUGGAGAGAGUGAAGAUGGUGGGAUGGAAGAGUUGGUAGAGUGACAAAUAGUAUGUCUUGCAGAGUUUGGUAAAAUGACGAAGUCAGUAGAGUAGAGGUCAAAAUAUAAUAUACCCUGCAGUGAAUGUACGAAUUUAUUGCAAAUUCCACCAGCAUUAACAUUACCUCUCAUCGUUUUGGAAUCAAUAGAAAUAUAAUCGAUCUCUUCGACUAUUCUACCGCCUGCUUCACCUCUCCUUGUAUUUGUGUUCUGUGCUACUGUUAGAAACCAUUAUUAAGGCAGUGGUGUUGUGGAUUUACUUGUGCCAAACAAAAUGUUUUGGGAUGUGAUUAUAUACAAGUUCUAAUCCCGGUGAUAUUGCUUUAGCAUUUUUUCUUGAAGGCAUUAUUAUUCAAGCUAAAGGAGAGACGUCUACGAUGUAAUGGAAAUAGCAGCCAAAUCUCCCUCAAACUACACUCUACCAUCUUAGAAACGUGUUCGACGGAAUAAAUAAUGCACACCUAUAUACACUUUUAUUAAAGUAAAAAAAAAAAGUAAAGUAGGACCCGAGGAGAAUAAAGAUAGUCUAUUUCGUCCAAUAGUAAGUAAAAGAGAGCUCAACAUAGAAUACAAUAUUUUGCUGUAAGGAAGAAGGGAAGCCUAAUGUAUCGGUAGAUCCCUGCGGGAGAAACUUUAUUAAAAUUAUUUCUGUUGCAUAUAUAUAUAUAUAUAUAUAUAUAUGUAUGCAUUAUGUAUAUGUAUGUAUGUAUGCAUAAAUAUAUAUCUGUGUGUGUGUGUGCUUGUGUGUGUGUGUUUGGCCCUCACCACGGAUAACAACCGGUGUUGGUGCACUUACGUCCACAUAAAUUAGCGAUUCGGCAAAAGGGAAUGAUAAAACAAGUAACGGGUUUUAAAAAUUCUGUGGUUGAUUCGGUCUACUAUAAUUCUUCAAGGCAGUACCCCAGUAUGGCUGCCGUCUAAUAACUGGAACAAUCAAAAGAUCAAAAAUAAACGAUAUAAUUAUUAAUUCAUAAAAAAAGUUCAGUAAAAUUGCUGUGAAAAUUAUAUUAAUGAAAACCUGAGAGUUUUAGUAUUUCUCCACGGUUGUUAAUCGUCAGUCCCAAUUAUGAGUGGAGAGAAGAGUUUGUGUGUUUUACAACGAAUGUCUUCUCUGGCAUGUUUAAUUAUAUUUCGUGCAAGAAGGCAAUAUCCACUCGGAGUCUCAGUAGUGUUGGUCAGAAAGAAUAGACGAAAGGAAUGAUUUCAUCAUUGAUACACGGUGCAAAGGCGCUCAAAGAGUUACUAAUACACUAUCAGCUUUUUAUGUUUUACAUGUGUGUGUGUUUGUAUGUGUGUGUGCGUGCGUGUGCAUGUAUGCAGGCAUGCAUGUCUAUGCACAUACAUAUAUGUAUAUGUAUAUACAGAUGCAUUGAUAUAUACCUGGACUUAUGAUUCUGUAUGCAUGUAUAUGUUUAUGCGUGUUUAUAUAUAUGUAUAUGUAUACACACACACACACACACACACACACACACACACACACACACAUAUAUAUAUAUAUAUAUAUAUAUAUAUAUACUCUUUACUCUUUUACUUGUUUCAGUCAUUUAACUGCGGCCAUGCUGGAGCAGAACCUUUAGUCGAGCAUAUCGACCCCACGACUUAUUUUUUGUACGCCUAGUACUUAUUCUAUCGGCCUUUUUCGCCGAACCACUAAGUUACGGGGACGUAAACACACCAACAUCGGUUGUCAAGUGAUGUUGGGGGGGGGGACAAACACAGACACACAAACGUAUACACACCCCUAUAUAUAUACAUAUAUACAUGUGCAUAUGCACAUAUGCAUAUAUAUGCAUGUAAAUGCAUAUACACUCAAUAUAUAUGUGCAGUACGUACAUAUAUAUAUAUAUAUAUAUAUAUAUAUAUAUAUAUAUAUAUAUAUAUAUAUACAUACAUUUAUAUAUAUACCCAUUUAUAUAACGGACUCUACCGUCGAAAACGACGCAUAGGUGUUCAGCGAGAAUAUAGAAAAACGAAUACCAGAUAGACAAUGAACAACACACUCACAUUACUAUUACUACUAUUCACCAAUGUUUGCAAUUCAUUCCCUUCACCUGGUGACUCCUCAUGUCAGUCCUCAGGUCACCAAAAGCAAUAUGAAUAUGAGCAUGAGCACGUGAUCAAGCUGAGAAAUCACAAUGUGUACAAUAGUGGCUUGCAGGAAAACUUGUUCUGCUCGUUUUCUUUUUCUAUUUUUCUGUAACUGUUCUUCAUGAAAAACCCUUUGAGUUUUGAAAUUUUGAAGUUGGAAAAAGCACACUCUCCUCUAGCCUGUACGGUUUCUCGCAAGAUUCUGAAAGUUUCUUUCAAGCAUUACAAAUUAUCUUACACACACGCGCGCGCGCGCGCGCACACACACACACACACACACACACACACACACAGAUAAUAGCUUAUAUACAUAGAGAAAUUGAGGCUUAACUAGUCCCUUAGAAGUUAAGUCAAUUUCAUCCCUCACUAACCCCUCUUUAUAUAUAUGUGUGUGCGGGUGUGUUUGAUAAGUGCCAACGUACGAAACUCUCGGACCUUGAGUCACUCUCUUACUUCUACAUAUUAAUAAAAAUGUACAUAUACAAUAAUACCUCGUAGUACGAGUUUAAUUCGUUCCAUGACCGAGCUCGCUUUACGAUUUAUUCGCUUUUCAAAUCAAUUUUCCCCAUUGAAAUUAACUAAAAUAUAAUUAAUCCAUUCCAGCCCCACAAAGCCACCCUAAAAUAAUUUUUAUGGGUUUUAAAGCAAAAAAGGUGUAGUUACAAGUAAAAUGACAGUUAUAAAAAAAGAGAAUACAGAAAAAAUAUGUAAACUGACUUGAUUAACUUAAUUAUCUUAAAGAUUGGACGAUUUGUGCGUGGGGAUGACGAUAGACCAGGUAGGAGGGGGAUUACUGUUUGGAAGGAGAAUCUCCUUCCAUUAAGACUUCAGGAAGGACAAUUUCUGGCGUGUUUUCUCUCACUUCGCUUAAUUUAGGCUCUUUGGACACGCUUUCUUUACUUUUUACACUUGCAGGUCGUUUCAUAAGAAAUAUAUAAAGAGAAGUCUGCUUUUUCCUGCCUUUCAAAAUGUUACGAAAAUGCGCCAGUGCAGUGUAAUUAAAUAAAGCAGCUGCACGACCUGUAGAUACUUUUACAGGAUGAUAUUUCUCUACAAAUUCAGAAACAUAUUGCCAUUUUGCCAACACUGCCUUUAUGUCAGUCGUAGAGAUAGCAUGCUCUGCAACACUGUCCUCCGCUACACUGCCAGGCUAUAUCAAUGAUUUUACAAUGUUGUAGUUUACAAUAUUGUUGCAGUUUACAAUUUUGUAGUGCUCCUUUCAAAACUCACGAAGUGUUAGAUUUGUAUAUUCGGCGACUUCAAAACACCGACGAAACAGGUGUUUGAUGUACAACUUAUUAAAAUUAGAAAUUACCUGUUGCUCCAUGAGCUGCAAGAUAAGGAUGGUGUUUGUUGCGUGAAAGGUACAUAACUAUUAUAAAGUUAAAUUCGUUCAGGAUAUCAUUUUCGAGGUUAAGAGGGUGGGCAGGUUCACAGUCGAGGAUGAUGAGAGCCUUGACGGGAAGAUUGUUCUCCAGAAGAUACUUUUUCACUGCUGGUCUAAAGACAAGAUUGACUCACUCGGAGAAGAAUUGUCUGGUGACCCAAGCUUUAACGUUUGCCCUCCAUAUGACCUGCAGCUUCUCCUUCAGGAUUUUGUGAGACUUGAACGCUCAUGGGUUUUCGGAAUGGUAGACAAGGAGCGGCUUAGUCUUCAAGUCUCCACUUGCAUUGGCACAAAGGGCGAGAGGUAGCCUAUCUUCUCCUCUGCGGUUAUGUUGGUUCUUCUGGGCAUUUUUUCCAAAAAAAGGCCAUUUUUCUCACAGUUGAAUACUUGUGCGAUGUACCCCCCGGCUGCAAUGAGCUGACGGAAUUCACGCACGAAAUCUUCAGCUGCCUUCGUAUCAGAGCUCGCUGCUUCUCCAUACCUGACGGCGCUAUGAACACCAGUUCUCUUCUUGAAAUUAUCAAACCAGCCGCGACUGGCCUUAAAUGCAUCCGCUGAUGUUUCCUCUGUCGCUGUUCCAGGGUGUUGCUUCAGGAUAUCCCCAUACAGCGCUCGUGCUUUCUCGCAGAUGAUGGUCUCCGUAAUCGUAUUCUCUGCAAGUUACUUCUAGUUGAUCCACAGGAGAAGCAAUUUUCCGAUCCUUUCGUGGACAGAUGUGCGUUGCUUAGAGAGCCUGGAGAUACCCUUUGCUGUUGUAAUGGCCUUGAUCUCAUCCAUUCUCUUCAGGAUUGUGCAGAUCGACGAAGUGCUUCGGUCGUAUUGAGGUGUGAUGUCCACUACACGCAUUCCUCUCUCAUUUUUAUCAAUGAUUUCUUUCUACAAUUCUAUCGUAAUCAGUUUUUUCUUCUUUUCAGCACUGUCUUUUGCACUAAUAUUCUAAGGAGCCAUGGCUAGCACAACUAAUUAUAAAAUAAGAGCAAAAUAUAUACAAAAAUAAACAAAAUUAUUUGGGUAAAACAUAACAGGGAUGCUGCCACAACGCGAUAAACACGUGAACUGAGCGAGCGGAGGCUGCGCUUGUUGGAAGAGCGUGUGUGAGUUCAGCGUCGACUAGCGGUCGUUUGCAUGAAACUCGGUCGUACUGCGAAUUUCCGUUCGUGCUUCAAGACAAAAUGUGCACGAGUCUCGGCUUGUACAGCAAACUACUCGUACAAUGGUGCACUCGUACUGCGAGGUUCUACUGUACUCAUAUUUUGCGUAGUAUUUUUCCUUUCUGUAUCAACAUCCCUAUAUAUACAUAUAAAUAUAUAAAAUUGUUAUUAAAUCGUGGUUUUGGCCGUGUUGGCUGCUAUUUCUACCUAUUAAAGGGUAGUUUUCUUUUGUGUUUAAAUGUACACUAUUUUAAAAUAUGAAUAUGUUGUCUACUGACUAUUUAUACAUGCUAGACCACAUGUGGUGAUAUUUAUAACGAAUAUUCGCUACCCUACAUAUGUAUCUUAUGAAUAUGUUCUUAGCAUUCUCGAAGAUUCGGCUCGGCAUUGUAUUUAUUGCCGACUGUAAAUGUGCCUGCGCGCGAAGUUUUGAAAAAUUAUAACAUAUAAUGACGGGGCACGUGUUCUUGUCUCUGAAUUAUAAGUAAUUUAUUGAGGCCGGUUACUGAUGAGAAUUCGCCUGGCGAUAAUAUUGUUUUGCUAAAUUACCUACUAAAGGAUGGCAAAUAAUCUUAUCUUCUAAAGAAAUUCGAGACCAUGUUGAUACAGAUGUUGAUAACCGCUAAUAAAAAUAACAAGGUAAAAGUUUUUAGUUUUCAAUUCCUUCGAAAAUUGCUAUUAAAUCGUGGUUUUGGCCGUGUUGGCUGCUAUUUCUAGCAUGCAAAAAUUACCUAUUAAAGGGUAGUUUUCUUUUGUGUUUAAAUGUACACUAUUUUAAAAUAUGAAUAUCUAUAUAUAUAUAUACAUACAUACAUAUAUAUAUAUACAUAUAUAUACAUACAUAUAUAUAUAUAUAUACAAUAUAUAUAUAUAUAUAUAUAUAUAUAUAUAUAUAUAUAUAUAUAGGAUAAAUGUAAAAAAACACAAACUGGGACAAGAACGCAAAACAUUUAGAAGACGAUACAAAAAAAACGGACGGGACAUUCGAAGCCUUCGAUCUUCAGUCAAAAACCGGAUCAUCUUCGCAAUUUCGGCUGAUUAAUUUUGAGAUUGCUCCGACUUGGCCAGCCCCAAAGGAAAAUCUAAGCCAAGCGCCUUAGAUUCCUUGGAAGAAAGCCUCGAAUGUAUACAAAACAAGGACGGGAACGGAUAAGAAUACAAAAAUACGUAAAAAAUAAUAAUGAUAAUUAUAGGCGUAGGAGUGGCUGCGUGGUAAGUAGUUUGCUUACCAGCCACAUGGUUCCGGGUUCAGUCCCACUGCGUGGCACCUUGGGCAAGUGUCUUCUACUAUAGCCUCGGGCCGACCAAAGCCUUGAGUGGAUUUGGUGGACGGAAACUGAAAGAAGCCCGUCGUAUAUAUGUAUAUAUAUAUAUGUGUGCGUGUGUGUUUUUGUGUCUGUGUUUGUCCCCCUUGCAUUGCUUGACAACCGAUGCUGGUGUGUUUAUGUCCCCGUCACUUAGCGGUUCGGCAAAAGAGACCGAUAGAAUAAGUACUGGGCUUACAAAGAAUAAGUUCCGGGGUCGAGUUGCUCGACUAAAGGCGGUGCUCCAGCAUGGCCGCAGUCAAAUGACUGAAACAAGUAAAAGAAAAAAUAAAAGAAAUAACACGAAUAAGAAUACGAAAAUACGUAAAAACAAUAAUGAUAAUAAUAAUAACAAAAACAGGACGUUACAGACAGGUGUCUUUUCGACUGGACGGGUGAACUUGAGCUGGCGCAUUGAAAAAUUCCCUAAAGGCGAAGAGAGAAAUAAAAUGUAUCUGGCCUAUACGGCUGUUGAUCACGAAAAGGCAGAACAGCAGACCAAAAGUUAGUCACGUGUGAGCGGGACAGAGGAAGAGAGAAAAAAGGGAACAAGGAACAAAGGAGGAGGAGGGGAGAGAGAGAGAAAGAGACGGGUCAAAGUGGAGUGCAAAGUGUGAAAGGCAGAGAAAUGUAGGAGAGGGGGAGAGAGAGAGACAGUGUUGUAGAAUCGUACCAUGUAUUAGAGAAAAAAUGUAUUUCACAUACAUAUAUAUAUAUAUACUAGCAGCAUAGCCCGGCGUUGCCCGGGUAUGUAAGAAACUUUGUCGAUAAGCAAUGCCCUUUACCUUUUUACCCUUUUUUGUACUCAUUGAACCGUUAUUUUGUAAAAUGAAGCCUAAAAGGCAUUAAGGCAUUCAAGGCACCGUUCCCUUGCAUGCAUGAAGAAAAUCUAUGACAGUCAAAGUGCAUUUUCUGGUUUUGUUUAGCACACCCAACCCAGUUCUGCGGAAUCAGUGUCACGACGGGAACGCAUGGGUUGGGAGUUUGACAGGCAGAGGUGAUAAGGUUGCACAUGCUGGCCCUUUUGACACCGCCCCACCGAACCCAAGUUGGGUUCGGACCACAGCUAAGCCCUAUCUAAUCCUAACCUAAAUCUAGCGAAAGGGGGCUGGGGGCUCGGGAGCCUCUAGUAGGCAACGGCUAAUCCCGAUCUAGUCUUUUCCCUCUAGGGAACGAAGGCGCAUGUGUAGGUUGCAACGUCUUCUCUUCACUCCAAUACUUCUGUGUAUACGACGUUCCUAGCUGAAGUGGCAAAAAUCGACUAAAUCGCCUGAAAUCCGCGAACUAUUUAACAAAAGUCAGUUUUGUAGGGUUCGCAUGGUCGGUCUCAAAGUGAUAUGGUUUUGUCGAUUUCUCCCAAUACUUGUUAACUGCAUUGACAAAAGGUCGUUAGUUUGACAUUUAAUGCAAACUUGAUGUCCAACAUUGGUGUAGGGAAAAUCUAUGUGAACUUUCAAAAAUUAUCACAGAAAAUUCGGUUUGCUAUGUGUGCCACAUAUGAUGUAAUUAACCGAUUUUUUCCAGUAAUGACGUAUCCUAUUGGAAUCAAAAGGACCAUAUAGCUUCUUGGAGCAGACAUGAUACUAGCUGUGAAUUUCAAAAAAAUUCCUGCCAAUUUGUUAAAGAUAUUGUCGAAAAUAUGUAAUCUUGAAUUUGAAUGCGAUUUCCCAAAAUGGCAUGAUUUUAUCGAUUUUUUCUGAUGGUAAGGUAUUGCAUGGAAAACUAACGUCAGAAUUAAGUUCCUUAGGGUAACAUUAAACUUCAACAUGAGUCUGGUGAAAAUCGAUUGCAAGUUGCGAAAACUACAACGGAAAAUGUGUUGCAUAUGAUAAGCUUAGAUUCUCGACCCCAUGUCGAAUUUAUUGAUUUUUUUCAGAACUGGGGGAACUUUUCAAAAUUUUCGCUGGGUUAGUUUUGAAUUAUGACAUUGGGCUAUGUGUGUGUCAAGUUUCAUCAGAAUCGGUUGAAAGCCGUGGUCAGGGUCAGGGUACAACCUGACAGACACACAGACAGACAAACUGCCUUUUAUAUAUAUAAAGAUAUAUAUACAUACAUACAUACAUACAUACACAUACAUACAUACAUACAUACAUACAUACAUACAUACAUACAUACAUACAUAUAUAUAUAUAUAUAUAUAUAUAUAUAUAUAUAUACAUACAUAAAGCAAAUGCACCCGUCCUUUGGGCGGUUUAAAUUGCUUUGGUAUUUUUUAAACCAAAUAAUUGAACUACCGAGAAGGUUUAUGAGUAACACGGCAAUCUAUGCUUUCGAUUAACCUAGGAAUGGAAAAUCGAAUUGAAGGCUGGUUAUUGUGGAAGUCGUUGCACUUUAAUGUUCAUGGAACAUAUAAGUUUGCAAGCGAUGUAAAGUAUAGCUACUGAAGUGUUUUGGGAGUAGAUUACAGAUAAUGUCUACAAACUAUAGUUGUUUUACAUGAAAGCGAAAUUUAUUGUCAGAAGCAGCCAUAUAAAUGGUGUAAGGAAAUUGAAGGAAGACGUUGAAACUUCCCCUCUGCGAGUUUAUUUUUCUCAACAGCAAAGGGAGUAAUUUCUUCGGAGAGAUAAGCAAACAAAAUCCCCCUUUAUUCUGUCUUCCCACAUAGCCUGCGCUUAAACUAACAGUGAAUGCGGCAUAAAGUUAAAUUGGCGUGAAGCUUUCUGAAAAUACGUAUAGCUUUUGCUAGUAGAAACAAGACUGUUAUCUAAUGAUUGAUUCUUUGGUCUACGAAUCAUAAGUGAUUGUUUAAAAAAAGCUAAAUCGACAAUGCUAAAAUGUAUUUGAAACAAUGGACAACAGUCAAAAUAUAAUGGAUGGGUAAAUAAACAUCCUUAAAGUGACACAACGCAUUGGUAGGUAAAUAAGGGUAUCAACAGAUAGAAGACAGGGAAGGGAACAUCACCUCUCAUGUAAUUUAGGAUAGGUAAAGGUAAGCUUGUCAAAGUUUGAUGCAGUUUGAAUAUGGAGAUUAAGAUUUUUUGGUAUUGGAUAACCCUCGCGUACAGUGUUCCUAGUCAAUUUAAUCAUGGUGGCAGGUGGACUGUCGAAAUAAAUAAAUAGACAAAAUCCUUUCACUUUUAUAUAAAGAUUAAAAAAGUAUGUAAGAUCCUACACACAAAAAAAACUAUGUCCAUUUAGGUCCAUUUACGCAGGAACUCUGGGCAAAAUGUUUAGUGCAUGACCAUCCUUGAGACAUAAGUAAUGUGUGUGUAAAGUUUGGUGAAAAUCGGGUGAGAAUUGUGGAAAUGUAUGCGUUAGUCAUUAUACACACACAUACUGUGAUUUAUCUAUACUAGAUAAUAUAUAUAUAUAUAUAUAUAUAUAUAUAUAUAUAUAUAUAUGUCUGUAUGUAUAUAUAUAUAUAUAUAUAUAUAUAUAUAUAUAUAUAUAUAUAUAUAUAUAUAUAUGUCUGUAUGUAUGUAUAUAUAUAUAUAUAUAUCUGUAUGUAUAUAUAUAUAUAUAUAUAUAUAUAUAUAUAUAUGCAUGUAUGUAUAUAUCUGUAUGUAUGUAUAUAUAUAUAUAUAUAUGUAUGUAUGUAAAUAUAUGUAUGUAUGUAUAUAUAUAUGAAUGUAUGUAAAUAUAUGUAUGUAUAUAUAUGUGUUUGUAUAUAUGUAUGUGUAUCUUUAUAUAUAUAAAACUGAGGAUGUGUGUCUGUCUGUCUGUCUGUAUGUAUGUUUCCCUUAAACUUGAGAACUACACAACCAAUUUCAUUCAAAUUUUACGCAUGCCUUACUUAGGGUCCAUGUAGUUUCAUGGGUAAAAAAAAAUGUUCAACUUCUUACCUAGAGCAAGCCCAUAGCAAUAUCAUAUCUUCUCCACUAUUACGUGUUAAAAGUGAAACAAAAAUAUUUCUCUAUUUUAUGUCAGAUGCUUUCACUUUAACAAUAAAAAUAAUAAUAACAAUUGAAUUAUAUGUUGUAAGUAAUAAUUAAAAUCAAACUAAAGUAUAAUAUAAUCGUAACAUAACAAAAGUAAAAAUAGCAAUUGGUAUAAAAUUGCAUCAAUGAUUUGAACUUGAAUAAGUGGUUUCACAUGAAUGGGAAUAAAUUAAAAAUAAAAUUAGCCUGCAGAAAUGGAAUAGUCCAGAUGGAUAAUAAAAAAUUAGAUUAAAGAAAAGACUAUUGUCUAUAAAGUAUGCAAUGUAGAGAAAAAAGAUUUGAACACAUGGAGGAAAGCACCUUCGAAAAGUGUCUUGGUGCGACUAUGAAAGAUAUCUAAUCAGAGGCGGUAAAUUUGCCACAAUAGAAACAAGGUUCGAGUCAACGGAGCAUGCAAGGGAGUACUCGACUCGAAUUUGCAAAGUGGAAAUAUUUUACCUUUACCUUUAUAUCUGGGACGUAGGACGUCCCGGAAAAAAAUUUAAAAUGCCCCCCCCCCCCCCGAAGUAGAGAUAGGCUGGAUUGUAACCACACUUCUAUACAAGAGGGAGGACAAGAUACAAUUGAUCGAAAUUACAAGAGACGGGCUAACAAUUCCAGUCUGUUAUAUAUUUUGAGUAUUGUUAUCACUAGCGAUAUCAAGAUAUAACUUUGUAUUUUGCAUUUUAUGUGUAGAUGUAUAUAUAUAUAGAUCUACAUGUAAUAUGUACACAUAUAUAUACACAUAUAUACAUGCACUAGCACUAUGACCCGGCAACGACGGGUCUUUAAUGCUAGUAUAUAUAUAUGCAUGCAUGUGUAUGUAUGUGUAUAUAUAUUGGUAAUAUAUAUAUAUAUUUGAUUUGAUCUAGUUUCAGCUCAUGAGCUGUGGCCAUGCUGGGGCACUGCCAUUUGGUGUUGCUACAUAAUUUUGCUUCACUAAUUCUUUUUAGAAAUCGACAUUUGGUGCAUGAGGGAGUUUGAUGCCGCUGUCCUCAUCUGCACUUCCUGCUGUGAAGUUGGUUCAUCUGGGACACUUGACAGUAGGUCUCUCAGGUUCUUCGGGAGGAUAUUGAGCUGUCGGCCUUUAAAGCCCAGGUUGUCGCAAUAUCUUGUCUUAUACCUUAAUGGUAAAGUUGAAGUCUUUGGCACUAUGCAGUGGCCCCCUAUUCUAGCAUUAGUAUAACUCUCGAUGCCGACGUUUAGGACAAGUCCAUCUAGGAUCUUCCAGAUGGCAUAUCUUAUGGCCUAUUUUAUGGCAUAUCUUUCCCGCCUACGCUCUAGGGAACAGAGUCUCAAUCUCUUGAGUCUUUCCCAGUAGCUUAUUUGCUGCAUAGAGGCUAUCUUCUUCGUUGGAUUGCCUCAAGUUCUGCAAUUAAUUUUACACUGGUUGGUGACCAUAGCUGGAAGCAAUAGUCAAAACAGCUUAGGACAACUGCCCUCCAGCGGACCAUCAUGGUUUCCUGAUUUCUCGUUCUAAAAGUUCUAAGAAUCCAUCCGGUCAGCCCCUCUAUUUCAUUGCCAAGUUAGCAAUAUGCACAUGGAAGGAUGCAUCAUUACUCAUGUAAAUGCCCAGGCCUCGCAUUGACUUUGUUUCUGGGAUUGCAAUCCCUUUAGGUCCAGUGUAUUUAACUGGUAUUGCAUUUAGCACAAGGCUUGAAACUUUUCAGCAUUAAAUUGCAUGCUAUUCUUCUCAGCCCAUUUGUAUAUUUCAUCCAACUCACGUUGCAGGUGCAUAGCGUCUUAAAGGUUCUGUAUCACCUGUAAGACUUUUGUAUCAUCUGCAUAAUUAGUGAUGGUGACUCUCUGUGUGGCUGAGGGCAUAUCUGAGAGGGUCAUUAUGAACAGUAGUGGUCCCAAGACAGUGCCUUGUGGAACACGGCUCACUAUUUGUGUGUCACUGGAGGUGGCCCCAUUGGCUACUCCCACCUGACUCCUAUCCUUCAAAAAGUCAUGCAGCCAUUCUCCUAAUUUUCCGACUAUGCCGAGAUCACGCAGUUUGUGACAUAUUCCAUGAUCGACUUUAUCGAAGGCCUUUGCAAAGUAGAAAUAUAUCACAUCCACAUUUGAGUGGUUGAGCAGCUGUUUCAACAACCAGUCAUAGCGUUGUAAGAGCUGAAUCAAGCAGCUUCUUCCUGGUUGGAAACCAUGUUGGGUGUCAGUCAGCAAGUCAUUUUCUUCAAGGAAGAUGGUUAGUUUUCUUCUGACUAUUCAUUCCAUGACUUUGCUGAUGUGCGAAGUCAGAGAGAUAGUCUGUAGUUUUUGGCCUCUGCUCUGCUACCGCCUUUAUGAAUACGGCAUAUUUUACCUUCCUCCAGCUUGCUUGGAAGUUUGUCUGUUGCAAAGAAGCUCUGGAAGAGGGAAUGCAGUGGUCUUGCUAGAACUCGCUUACAUGAUUUUCAUCUAUAGCCCUUAUUAUAUCGUCUUAUUUUAUAUUGAUGUAAUUAAUCAUCACUGCCUCUGUUUUUAUAUCUGCAGUGGUAAAAAAAAGUCAGUUGGAUUGCUGACUUGCAAGUGUCCUAGGGUGGACUGAAAAUACUUCUGAAUUACUCAUUUAGUAUUUUACUUAUCCUCCUCUUUGGGGUUUCCUGUGAGUGAACCAUCUUUUUCGAGGAGUGGCCCUACCCUGCAGUGCACUGAGGCUGUUUCUUUGACAAACUUGUAGAAGGCUCUGGGGUUAGAUUUUAUGUUGUCUUUAGCUUAGGCUUCUUUGUCUGCUCUUUCUUAUUCAUGGGUGAGUUGCAGAUUGUUUUUCAAUCUCCAGCAGUUGUAUUUUCAGGCUGGAUUUCUCAGUGCUUUCAGUUUGUGUUUAGGCGAUUUGAAAUCUUUGUAUGCCGUCUCAUAAAAGUUUUCCUCUACCUCGGGAUUUUGUUCUUGAGUACAGUGGCCGUUCUCUCCGGGACACAUUUGUAGCAUAUGUCUUGCAUUACAGACAUGAAUUGUUGAAGUUUCAUGUCGAUGUCCGGUGAGGAGAGAAGAUAUGUAUAUAUAUAAAUAUGUGUAUGUGUAUGUGUGAGCGUGUGUUUAUUUAUAUAUGUAUGUCUAUAUAUAUAUAUAUGUGUGUGUGUGUGUGUGUGUGUGUGUGUGUGCAUGAAUGUCUAUAUAUAUGUAUGUAUAUAUAUAUAUAUAUAUAUAUAUAUAUAUAUAUAUAUAUAUGUAUGUAUGUAUGUAUGUAUAUGUAUGUAUGUAUGUGAAUAUAUAUAUAUGUAUGUGUAUAUAUGUAUAUGUAGACAUAUGUAUGCAUGUAUAUAUAUAUAUAUAUAUAUAUAUAUAUAUAUAUAUAUAUAUAUAUAUAUACUAAGUCAUCUCAUAAAUAAUGCCAUAUUUUUAUACUUCUUUUAUUUUUCAUAAUUAAGAUAAACAAUUUUUUUUUAAAUGUAAAAUAUACUCUCCUUAAUUUUCUACAAUGUUCUUCCAUCUGUCUGGAAGACUCGCAAGGCUCCUCUUCCAAAAUUCUCUUGUCCGCGACGAAAAUUUUCCUCCCACAUUGUUCUGACCUCGUCUACAGAAUUCAUAUUUUACCCGUCCAUAUGAUUUUGAAGACUGCGGAAUAAAUGACCAUCAGAUGGGGCAAUGUUUGGCGAAUAUGGUGGAUGGUGCAUCAUUCGUUUGCACAUUCAAAUUGCUCUAGCCUUUGGAAUGUCAUCCUCGGUAUAUGUGGUCGAGUAUUAUCCUGAUGGAAGAACACCUUUCGUCUUGAAACCAAAGAUGGUCGUUUUUCUUCCAGCACUGACUUAAGCCGCCCAAGCUGCUCUCGGUAGAUCUCCUUUGUUAUCGUUUGGUUUGGAUUUAAAAGUUCAAAGUGGACUAAACCUUUCACAUCCCACGAAACAGAACAACACCUUACGCAGUUGAAGAUCUUUAGCCUGGGGUGCCGGUGUUUCUCUUUUCCCUACCUACCGUCUUCGGCGCUUGAUAUUUUUAUAGAGAACCCAUUUCUCGUCACCAGUCACUAUUCAAUCCAAAAACGGGUCAUUCGUGAGACGUGACUGCAAAGAUCACACAUUCACUCUCUGCGAACGAUUAGAGUCGGAAAGUUUGGCCCGAAUUGCUGACUUUUCCGAUGGCACGCAGGUAUUGAUGAAUGGUUUCUCUGCUAGUUCCUCAACAGUUACGACAGGAUUUUGUUCCACUAGGUUUUGCAGUACGUCCUCGUCGAACUCUACAGAUCUUCCAGGACGAGGCUCGACUUCUAGGUUGUAGUUCCCGGCUCGGAAUUUCUGGAACCACUGUUGACACGGCUUACAUUUAUUGUCCGGUCUCCAUAUACUGCAUUAUUAUUCCUCGCACUUUCUGUUGCGUUGUUGCCUUUAUUGAACUCAUAAAGCGAAAUAUACUAAAUAUAGUCCCUAGUCACUUCCAGAUAGCUUUGUAAAAUAACUGUUACAAUCGAACUGCACUCUUCAAAACUUGUACUAAGAAUAGGUUCAAAGUAAAAUUACUACUUAUUUUUAUAGCAAGUUGAUGCAGGUAGUUUAUCUCAUUCCCCUCCAACUUUUUGUUCAUGCAAUUGAAAAAACUGCAUUAUUUAUGGGAUGACCCAAUAUUUAUAUAUGUGUGUGUGUGUGUGUCAGUGUAUGUAUGUAUGUGUAUAUGUAUAUAUAUAUACACAUAUGUAUGCAUGGAUAUGUGCGUGCGCGCGCACGCGUGUGUGAUUCAAAGAGAGUUAAAGGUUGUGCAUCCAAUAUACUGCUUGUAGAAUACCUAGUUAAUACACAAGUGUUGGUUAUUGCGUGGCAAUUUCACGACUGAGUAUAAUAAUUAGGCGAGGGUAAUAAGUGGUUUUACCCGAAAUUUAUAUGGCAAGAAGAAAAUGGAGGGAAUCCAGAGGUAAUAUUCAUCAGAUGUUAGACAUUAUAUUAUGUCUAUUUAUUUAUUUUAAACAGUUCAGAUACUAUAUAAAUACAUGUGUAAGGUAUUAGUAAUUUCUAGAAUAGAGAGAGAAGAGCAGUUUCUUACAAGAGGUCACUGUAUCCCACAUGUUAUUUCCAUCUUUUCAGUGUACUAUAGUAAUCUGUAGAUAAUUGGGGUACUUGGGUAUGCCUCUAGGCUUCGUCAGAGAGUUUUGUAAGAUAGUCCAAGAAGUUCAUAGGGCUAAUUUAUGCGCGCGCACACACACAUGCAUAUAUAUAUAUAUAUAUAUAUAUAUAUAUACAUACACACAUUCACAUAUAUACAUACAUAUACAUACACACAUGUGUGCAUAUCUGCAUAUGCAUAUGUAUAUAUAUAUAUAUAUAUAUAUAUAUAUAUAUAUAUAUAUAUAUAUAUAUAUAUAUAUAAGAUAAGAAAAUGGAGAAAUACAUCUAAAUCAAAUAUCAAUUAUCAGAUAAUACUCAAUCACAUACUUUAUUAAACCACCACAUAAGAGACUGUAGGGUUAAACAUAAAAAAGCAGAACAAAUCAGUGUACACAAAGGAAUGUACAUAAAAAAGUGUACAUAAAAGAGUAAUAUUGUAUAAUAAGUAGAAUAUAUAUAAAAAAGAGAAUAUAAAUAUAAGUAAAUAUAAAUAUAAGUAUAGAUGACAUCUUACAGCUGUUUCGGCCAUGUAGAUAAGUAUGUCUCAUUUUACCAAUAUUAGCCUUUUAUGGUAGGUCAAUAUAUGGAUAUAAAUGAGACAUUUAGAAAAGUAUCAUAAGGCCUCUUCGGAGAUAUACAUAUACAUAUGAGUGCAUAUACUCACACUCCUAUGCAUAUAAAAAUAUACAUAUACAUAAUAAUGUAAAUAAAUAAUAUAAAUUAGUAAACAUAUAUAUGUUCCACAUUCAAUGUUUCAGUUUUUCAACUUAAUAUUGUGAUAAUAAACAUACACAUAUUAGUACCUAGAUGCAAAUAUACAUAGUCAAUAGUACAUUAUAUUACUUCCUACUAAUUUCCAAAGAGUCAUAAAAGUUAGCAUCAUUAUCGUUGUCAAUACCAUUAAUGCUACCAUCAUUAUCAUUCAUAAUAUUGUUAAUAUCGCUUACGUUAGGAUCAAAAGUGGCACAUAUGUAUGUCCGGGUUCCAUUUAGUAAUUUUCCUUAUGACAUAAAUACACUAUUGGAUUUGAAUUUAAAUUAUCAUUGUCUUCCUCAUGGUUGGUCCGUUGAGAGCCGUCCCCACACCGCACAAGAAAAACAUAUACAUCCACAUCCAACCCUAAACCCACACGUCUACAUAAAGACCCACACACACAUGCACACACACAUGAGUAAACCCCGACACAUCGCUACACAUUCACUAGAUUGCAGAGUGCAUGUCUGUCAUCGCAUGGCUUAUAGACAAAUCAGUACAGGCCGCAGUGUCUAUACACUAACACUAACUUAUAAUUAAUUUAAUUUAAUUCAUAAUUAAUGAACUUAUAUCUAAGUUAAUAGUAAAUUCUGUUUACUUUUUGUGUAUGUAUAUAUACGUCUUUGGAUGGGCAGACAUAUAUUUUUAAUUUAUGAUUUAGUGGAUGUGGGUUGAGGUGUCGAGGUGUGUGAAAAUGUGUAUGUGUACGUAUGUAUGUUUUUGUACGUAUAGGUAUGUUCGUGGGUGUAUGUACGGAUGUAUGUUUUUGUUAUACAUAUGAGUACGCAGGUGCGUAUUUGGAUAUGUAUAUAUGUAUAUGCAAAUAUUUAUUCAUGGGUGGAUAUAAGUAUAGGUUUUAUUUGUACGUAUGAGUGCGCUGACAUAUAUUUAAAUAUGUAUAUAUGUGUGUAGAAAUGUUCCCUGAUACAGUAUAUGAGAUUGUAUUAAUAUCUAUGAGUAUAUGCGGAUGUGCGUGUGAGUGUGUGUGUUUUAGUGUAUAGACACUGCGGCCUGUACUGAUUUGUCUAUAAGCCAUGCGAUGACAGACAUGCACUCUGCAAUCUAGUGAAUGUGUAGCGAUGUAUCGGGGUUUACUCAUGUGUGUGUGGGUCUUUAUGUGGACGUGUGGGUUUAGGGUUGGAUGUGGAUGUGUAUGUUUUUCUUGUGCGGUGUGGGGACGGCUCUCAACGGACCAACCAUGAGGAAGACAAUGAUAAUUUAAAUUCAAAUCCAAUAGUGUAUUUAUGUCAUAAGGAAAAUUACUAAAUGGAACCCGGACAUACAUAUGUGCCACUUUUGAUCCUAACGUAAGCGAUAUUAACAAUAUUAUGAAUAAUAAUGAUGGUAGCAUUAAUGGUAUUGACAACGAUAAUGAUGCUAACUUUUAUGACACUUUGGAAAUUAGUAGGAAGUAAUAUAAUGUACUAUUGACUAUGUAUAUUUGCAUCUAGGUACUAAUAUGUGUAUGUUUAUUAUCACAAUAUUAAGUUGAAAAACUGAAACAUUGAAUGUGGAACAUAUAUAUGUUUACUAAUUUAUAUUAUUUAUUUACAUUAUUAUGUAUAUGUAUAUUUUUAUAUGUAUAGGAGUGUGAGUAUAUGCACUCAUAUGUAUAUGUAUAUCUCCGAAGAGGCCUUAUGAUACUUUUCUAAAUGUCUCAUUUAUAUCCAUAUAUUGACCUAUCAUAAAAGGCUAAUAUUGGUAAAAUGAGACAUACUUAUCUACAUGGCCGAAACAGCUGUAAGAUGUCAUCUAUACUUAUAUUUAUAUUUACUUAUAUUUAUAUUCUCUUUUUUAUAUAUAUUCUACUUAUUAUACAAUAUUACUCUUUUAUGUACACUUUUUUAUGUACAUUCCUUUGUGUACACUGAUUUGUUCUGCUUUUUUAUGUUUAACCCUACAGUCUCUUAUGUGGUGGUUUAAUAAAGUAUGUGAUUGAGUAUUAUCUGGUAAUUGAUAUUUGAUUUAGAUGUAUUUCUCCAUUUUCUUAUCUUGUAUUAGUAAUUUGUGGUAAAUCAUUUUACCUUUGCCCAUAUAAUACAGUAAAUGAAUUGAUUGCAUUUGCAAUCCUUAACAUUAACUUUGUUGGGUACUUCACUAGCAGUAUAUUGGAUAUAGGUUAUCCCAUGGAGGGUUGCAUUUACAACCCCUAUCUCAAUUUGUAUAUAUAUAUAUGUGUGUGUGUGUGUGUGUGUGUGUGUGUGUGUGUGUGUGUUUUAAAAAAGCCCACUCCAGUUUUGUAAAUGUUCUGGGAUUUUGCAACUGACCUCUAAAAUUUGUAGACAUGCUGAACUGAGGACCAUACACGACACACAAACGUCUUGUAACACAUCAGGAGGAAACAUUAGUUCAGACAUAUUUCAUUAAUCUGUUUUAUUUUAUUUUACUUUUAUUUUUUUGCUUGUUGUGUUAAUGAUUCUGAUAUAAAAAUGAUGUACUCAUUAAGCCAUUGGCAAUUGUGAGAACGUAGCAUCCCACGCAAAUACAUUGUUUUCUUCCAAUAUUAUUUCUGAUGUAUGGUGUCUGUGUUCCGUUAGCAAUCGAGGAAUUAUAAUGAUUUUCCUUCAGUAUUUAUUAAAUAUUCCUUGAAUCUCUUUGCAUCAUCUAUUACGUUCGUUCAGUUUUACUCCUUUAUUGUUUCAGCCAUCCAGCUACGGCUUAUGCUUGGACACCGCCAUUAAUGAUUGUGAAAAUGAAGUAUUUGCACUAAUAGCCAUUCUCACAUAUAAGAAUUCCGUUAUAAACAAGAAAUUCCAGGAGCUUUUCAACAGCAGUUACAG
rnacentral:lncRNA from 1 species